rnacentral:rRNA from 1 species
AGUGAACGCUGGCGGCAGGCCUAACACAUGCAAGUCGAACGGCAGGACAGUAAGAGUUUGCCCUUACGGGUGGCGAGGGGCGGACGGGUGAGGAAUAGAUCGGAAUCUACUUUUUCGGGGGGGAUAACGUAGGGAAAGUUACGCUAAUAGAGCAUAUGAUGAACGGGGGAAAGCAGGGGAGAUUGGGAGCUUGGGCGACUGAAUGAGCCGAUGCCGGAGUAGCUAGUUGGGGGGGUAAAGGCUCACCAUGGCAACGAUCCGUAGCCGACCGGAGAGGAGGGUCGGCGCCACUGGAACUGAGACACGGUCCAGACUCCUACGGGAGGCAGCAGUAGGGAAUCUUCGGCAAUGGGCGAAAGCCUGACGGAGCAACGCCGCGCGUGUGAUGAAGGUCUUCGGAUCGUAAAGCUCUGUUAUUAGGGAAGAACAACUGUGUAAGUAACUAUGCACGUCUUGACGGUACCGAAUCAGAAAGCCACGGCUAACUACGUG